UGGCGGCCCUGCCGGCCAUGAACACCACGGCCACCACCCUGGGGGUGCUGUGGGUGCUGCGCAACGAGCCCCUCGACAUGCGCCCCCUGGGUCACUACCCCGAGCGUCACUUCACGGAGGGGCCCCCCCGGCGCCUCAUCCGGCGCUUCCGGCGCCGCCUGCGCCGAAUUUCCCGGGAGAUCCGAGCCCGGAACGCGGCGCUGGAGCGGCCCUACCCCUACCUGGACCCCCCCAACAUCGAGAACAGCGUCGCCAUCUGAGGGGAGACCCCAAAAAAUACCCCAAAAUACCCCAAAAUACCCCAAAAACCCCUACCUGGACCCCCCCAACAUCGAGAACAGCGUCGCCAUCUGAGGGGGGACCCCAAAAAAUACCCCAAAAUACCCCAAAAACCACCCCAAAACCACCCAAAAAACCUAAAAAACCCCAAAAAAUCCCCCCCCCAAAACCCCCAAAACCCUCCAAAAAACCUCCACAGAACCCCCCUAAAAAACCCCCAAAAAAUCCCAAAAACAUCCCAAAAAGUCCCCCCCAAGCCCUCCAAAAACCUCCAAAGA